UAGGGAAUCUUCGGCAAUGGACGAAAGUCUGACCGAGCAACGCCGCGUGAGUGAAGAAGGUUUUCGGAUCGUAAAACUCUGUUGUUAGAGAAGAACAAGGACGUUAGUAACUGAACGUCCCCUGACGGUAUCUAACCAGAAAGCCACGGCUAACUACGUGCCAGCAGCCGCGGUAAUACGUAGGUGGCAAGCGUUGUCCGGAUUUAUUGGGCGUAAAGCGAGCGCAGGCGGUUUCUUAAGUCUGAUGUGAAAGCCCCCGGCUCAACCGGGGAGGGUCAUUGGAAACUGGGAGACUUGAGUGAAGAAGAGGAGAGUGGAAUUCCAUAUGUAGCGGUGAAAUGCGUAGAUAUAUGGAGGAACACCAGUGGCGAAGGCGGCUCUCUGGUCUGUAACUGACGCUGAGGCUCGAAAGCGUGGGGAGCAAACAGG
rnacentral:rRNA from 1 species